UUAAGCGACUAAGCGUACACGGUGGAUGCCCUGGCAGUCAGAGGCGAUGAAGGACGUGCUAAUCUGCGAUAAGCGUCGGUGAGGUGAUAUGAACCGUUAUAACCGGCGAUUUCCGAAUGGGGAAACCCAGUGUGUUUCGACACACUAUCAUUAACUGAAUCCAUAGGUUAAUGAGGCGAACCGGGGGAACUGAAACAUCUAAGUACCCCGAGGAAAAGAAAUCAACCGAGAUUCCCCCAGUAGCGGCGAGCGAACGGGGAGGAGCCCAGAGCCUGAAUCAGUGUGUGUGUUAGUGGAAGCGUCUGGAAAGGCGCGCGAUACAGGGUGACAGCCCCGUACACAAAAAUGCACAUAUUGUGAGCUCGAUGAGUAGGGCGGGACACGUGGUAUCCUGUCUGAAUAUGGGGGGACCAUCCUCCAAGGCUAAAUACUCCUGACUGACCGAUAGUGAACCAGUACCGUGAGGGAAAGGCGAAAAGAACCCCGGCGAGGGGAGUGAAAAAGAACCUGAAACCGUGUACGUACAAGCAGUGGGAGCCUCUUUAUGGGGUGACUGCGUACCUUUUGUAUAAUGGGUCAGCGACUUAUAUUCUGUAGCAAGGUUAACCGAAUAGGGGAGCCGAAGUGAAACCGAGUCUUAACUGGGCGUUAAGUUGCAGGGUAUAGACCCGAAACCCGGUGAUCUAGCCAUGGGCAGGUUGAAGGUUGGGUAACACUAACUGGAGGACCGAACCGACUAAUGUUGAAAAAUUAGCGGAUGACUUGUGGCUGGGGGUGAAAGGCCAAUCAAACCGGGAGAUAGCUGGUUCUCCCCGAAAGCUAUUUAGGUAGCGCCUCGUGAAUUCAUCUCCGGGGGUAGAGCACUGUUUCGGCAAGGGGGUCAUCCCGACUUACCAACCCGAUGCAAACUGCGAAUACCGGAGAAUGUUAUCACGGGAGACACACGGCGGGUGCUAACGUUCGUCGUGAAGAGGGAAACAACCCAGACCGCCAGCUAAGGUCCCAAAGUCAUGGUUAAGUGGGAAACGAUGUGGGAAGGCCCAGACAGCCAGGAUGUUGGCUUAGAAGCAGCCAUCAUUUAAAGAAAGCGUAAUAGCUCACUGGUCGAGUCGGCCUGCGCGGAAGAUGUAACGGGGCUAAACCAUGCACCGAAGCUGCGGCAGCGACACUAUGUGUUGUUGGGUAGGGGAGCGUUCUGUAAGCCUGUGAAGGUGGCCUGUGAGGGUUGCUGGAGGUAUCAGAAGUGCGAAUGCUGACAUAAGUAACGAUAAAGCGGGUGAAAAGCCCGCUCGCCGGAAGACCAAGGGUUCCUGUCCAACGUUAAUCGGGGCAGGGUGAGUCGACCCCUAAGGCGAGGCCGAAAGGCGUAGUCGAUGGGAAACAGGUUAAUAUUCCUGUACUUGGUGUUACUGCGAAGGGGGGACGGAGAAGGCUAUGUUGGCCGGGCGACGGUUGUCCCGGUUUAAGCGUGUAGGCUGGUUUUCCAGGCAAAUCCGGAAAACCAAGGCUGAGGCGUGAUGACGAGGCACUACGGUGCUGAAGCGACAAAUGCCCUGCUUCCAGGAAAAGCCUCUAAGCAUCAGGUAACAUCAAAUCGUACCCCAAACCGACACAGGUGGUCAGGUAGAGAAUACCAAGGCGCUUGAGAGAACUCGGGUGAAGGAACUAGGCAAAAUGGUGCCGUAACUUCGGGAGAAGGCACGCUGAUAUGUAGGUGAAGCGACUUGCUCGUGGAGCUGAAAUCAGUCGAAGAUACCAGCUGGCUGCAACUGUUUAUUAAAAACACAGCACUGUGCAAACACGAAAGUGGACGUAUACGGUGUGACGCCUGCCCGGUGCCGGAAGGUUAAUUGAUGGGGUUAGCGGUAACGCGAAGCUCUUGAUCGAAGCCCCGGUAAACGGCGGCCGUAACUAUAACGGUCCUAAGGUAGCGAAAUUCCUUGUCGGGUAAGUUCCGACCUGCACGAAUGGCGUAAUGAUGGCCAGGCUGUCUCCACCCGAGACUCAGUGAAAUUGAACUCGCUGUGAAGAUGCAGUGUACCCGCGGCAAGACGGAAAGACCCCGUGAACCUUUACUAUAGCUUGACACUGAACAUUGAGCCUUGAUGUGUAGGAUAGGUGGGAGGCUUUGAAGUGUGGACGCCAGUCUGCAUGGAGCCGACCUUGAAAUACCACCCUUUAAUGUUUGAUGUUCUAACGUUGGCCCGUAAUCCGGGUUGCGGACAGUGUCUGGUGGGUAGUUUGACUGGGGCGGUCUCCUCCUAAAGAGUAACGGAGGAGCACGAAGGUUGGCUAAUCCUGGUCGGACAUCAGGAGGUUAGUGCAAUGGCAUAAGCCAGCUUGACUGCGAGCGUGACGGCGCGAGCAGGUGCGAAAGCAGGUCAUAGUGAUCCGGUGGUUCUGAAUGGAAGGGCCAUCGCUCAACGGAUAAAAGGUACUCCGGGGAUAACAGGCUGAUACCGCCCAAGAGUUCAUAUCGACGGCGGUGUUUGGCACCUCGAUGUCGGCUCAUCACAUCCUGGGGCUGAAGUAGGUCCCAAGGGUAUGGCUGUUCGCCAUUUAAAGUGGUACGCGAGCUGGGUUUAGAACGUCGUGAGACAGUUCGGUCCCUAUCUGCCGUGGGCGCUGGAGAACUGAGGGGGGCUGCUCCUAGUACGAGAGGACCGGAGUGGACGCAUCACUGGUGUUCGGGUUGUCAUGCCAAUGGCACUGCCCGGUAGCUAAAUGCGGAAGAGAUAAGUGCUGAAAGCAUCUAAGCACGAAACUUGCCCCGAGAUGAGUUCUCCCUGAGACCUAGAGUCUCCUGAAGGAACGUUGAAGACGACGACGUUGAUAGGCCGGGUGUGUAAGCGCAGCGAUGCGUUGAGCUAACCGGUACUAAUGAACCGUGAGGCUUAACCUU
rnacentral:rRNA from 1 species